UACGUAGGCAGCAAGCGUUGCUCGGAGUUACUGGGCGUAAAGGGUGCGUAGGCGGCUUUUUAAGUUUGGUGUGAAAUCUCCCGGCUCAACUGGGAGGGUGCGCCGAAUACUGAGAGGCUAGAGUGUGGGAGAGGAAAGUGGAAUUCCUGGUGUAGCGGUGAAAUGCGUAGAUAUCAGGAGGAACACCGGUGGUGUAAACGGCUUUCUGGACCAUAACUGACGCUGAUGCACGAAAGCGUGGGUAGCAAACAGG
rnacentral:rRNA from 1 species